UGGCUCAGGAUGAACGCUGGCGGCGUGCUUAACACAUGCAAGUCGAACGGGAUCCGCCAAGCUUGCUUGGUGGUGAGAGUGGCGAACGGGUGAGUAAUGCGUGACCAACCUGCCCCAUGCUUCGGAAUAGCUCCUGGAAACGGGUGGUAAUGCCGGAUGCUCCGCAUCAUCGCAUGAUGGUGUGGGAAAGGGUUUACCGGCAUGGGAUGGGGUCGCGUCCUAUCAGCUUGUUGGCGGGGUGAUGGCCUGCCAAGGCUUCGACGGGUAGCCGGCCUGAGAGGGCGACCGGCCACAUUGGGACUGAGAUACGGCCCAGACUCCUACGGGAGGCAGCAGUGGGGAAUAUUGCACAAUGGGCGAAAGCCUGAUGCAGCGACGCCGCGUGCGGGAUGACGGCCUUCGGGUUGUAAACCGCUUUUGAUUGGGAGCAAGCGAGAGUGAGUGUACCUUUCGAAUAAGCACCGGCUAACUACGUGCCAGCAGCCGCGGUAAUACGUAGGGUGCAAGCGUUAUCCGGAUUUAUUGGGCGUAAAGGGCUCGUAGGCGGUUCGUCGCGUCUGGUGUGAAAGUCCAUCGCUUAACGGUGGAUCGGCGCCGGGUACGGGCGGACUGGAGUGCGGUAGGGGAGACUGGAAUUCCCGGUGUAACGGUGGAAUGUGUAGAUAUCGGGAAGAACACCGAUGGCGAAGGCAGGUCUCUGGGCCGUCACUGACGCUG
rnacentral:rRNA from 1 species